GAGAGGGGAAUUGCAGUGGUGGCGGGGCAGGGGUGGUAAGGAGACCCAGCUCCAGCGGGCUCACUGCCGAUGAGGGCCACCGCCCAGGCAAAAGAUUCCUUCACACACUUCCCCCCACUCACCCAGAGCAAAGCACUGAGACUUCCAUCAUGCACAAGUCCUUCAGCUUAUUGGAGUCCUUCAACUUAAGUUCUUUCUUAACAGAUAUCCCAUUAGGAUUAAGAAAACCUCACCACCAACAAACUUCAUACCCCAUCAACAGUGAUGUCAGCAUGAGGAUUAAUACUUUGGGAAAGAAAUUUUUUUUCAAGUAAGACUUCUAUGAAAUGUGCUGCUUGCCAUGUGCCAAGGUUUUUGGCUGAUUCCCAGAUCCUAUGGAGAAAGUGUCUUCAUAUGCUUGUUCUGUAAACACAGGCAGAGCCAGGAUCAGAAUAUAGAAACAGUGAAAUCGUUGAGAGCACCAGAGACAAGAGAGCUGGUUGACGGUGCUGGUGUUGCCCACGGAGAGAGCAGGAAAGCAGAAUAUUUAAACCUCUGCCAAACUCCCAAGAAGCUGACUUUUCAAUGUGCAAUGUCAUUCCUCAGGUUGUUUCCCGCCCAUCAAAUGCCAGUGGCCUAGACUGACUGUUGCCAGCAUUCCUGGAGAGCCCAGGAAGUACACUAUGGUGAUGAAAAUGACUGUGGCAAUCCAGCAGUCUGCUCUAACUGGAUGAUUGUAAGAGGGUAAAGAAGAUAGUGCUGAACUUUGUGAUGGUUUUAUAUUCCAGUAAACGCCCAGUAAGACAACAUUGGAGACAGCAGGGCCCAUAUGGGUAUUGGAGAAACAAUGGACAAAGUCAGACCCAGCCCAGUGGAUGACGGCAGGAUCUCACUAGUGUUGGUCUCACAAGUGUUGAGUAGAAGAUACCCAGAGAGUGAGACAACUUCCAGGACUAGAACUGUGUGUGGAGUCCAAACCAGGAGAGUUGGGGAAAGAGGGCAGUUGGACAUCAUCUUCGUGGAUGGAAUCUUGCCAGGAAGAAGACCUCCUUGAGAAGAAGAUGGGUGAGUGAAGGCAACAAGUAAUUGACACGGAUCGAGCAUCUACACCGGGAAGUAUUCCCUGUGAACCCAUGAGACCUCAUCCCUGCGUUGGUCUGGCUGGCUUUCCCUGUGAGAUACAGGUUCCUCCAGAAGAGCUGGAGCUCCAUUCCAGCCCUGGACUUCUCCUUGCUUCCAGACUUCAAGAUGAGAAGCAUUUUUCCAGUCCACAAGUGUUAGAGGACGCUGCCGAUGAUGUGUGUUUUGCCCAGGCUGGACUCAGCUUCUUUGGGUAAAGGUUAAGUUUUCUUCAAAAUAAGAGGAAUCUAGAGAAACUGAGACCAUUAAGCAAAUUUUUAGAAGUAGAUGAGAAGGAAAGUUGGAAAACAAAGCACACUUGCUUACAGAGAAACUAGGAGAUCACCUUUAUUAAGAAAGCACCUUAAUUUGGGGCAGAGAGGGGUUUAUAGAAAGUUGGUUGGAGAGAGUGGAGCUUGAAGUAGAGCUAAUUUCCUGAAUUCUUGGGUUAAAGACUCCCCAUGGCAUCCCUUCCCAAAGCAGAUAGCAGUAAAAGGAGCAGGUUUGAGCCAGGGAAGCUGAUGGUCUGGCUGCACAGCGGGCAAAGGACCCUGGGGCCUGGAUAGCUCGCUGCAUGGCUCUUUGCUGAUGGGCCUGGAGGAGGGAGAAAGCAACAGCACUGGGUGCCCACGCCCGACUCCCAGGGCAUUUAAGGUAUCUGAAGCGCAGGCAGGACAAGGGGUGUGGAAGAUGCAGUCAGCUUUGGUUUCCUCCUGCCUUCACUCACACAACCCUGGCUUUGUCUCUCACCUGGGGCCCCCAACACUAGGGCAGUGAUCCUAGUAACUAUCACCUGCUCCUCUUCCUGUCCACAGAUCCUCAAUGCCUGGGCCCCGCUCCAAGGCCUUGCUCACACCUUUACAUCCACCCAGAGUGCCCUUCACUGCUCUACACUGAUUUAAACACCACCCAGUUUCCAAGGCUUGGUUUGAAUACCGCUUACUCCAGGAAGCCUUUUAUGAUAUCUUUAGUUCCCCAGUGCUCUUGGAUUCUGGACUCUUCUGAUUUUCCUCCUGCUUCACUGCCCAUAUCUCACUCACUCCUCCUCCCACCCACCCGAAUGUUGGAAUACCUACAGCAUCGUGCUGGGCUCUCUUUUUUCCUUUACAAACACUUCCUCUUUUUGGGGAAAUUUCUUUACCUUGUGGUUUUAAUUACUAACCUUAUAUCAGUAACUCCAAAAUUAUUCAAGUGUGUACACCUGGCCUUUUCCGUGAUCUUGAGACUCAGGUACCCAAUUGUCUUCUCUUCACCUCUACUUGUUCAUCUAAUAGGAAUCCCAACCCUCAGACAUCCCCAAAGGAGGCUCUGUUGCCUUCUGUAACUUCUUUUCCAAAUCUCAGUAAAUGGCACCACCACCACCAUAUACCUAGUUGCUCAAGCCAAGCAGAAGCCUAACUCUAAUCUAUCUCAUCCUUCUAUUCCCUGGAUAUCUUUCAUUGACAAAUCCUACUGACUUUGCUUAAAAACAUAGUCUACGUUCUUCUAAAUUGUUCUCUCUCAACCCAGGGCAGGCGACGAUCUUCACAAUCAGGAACAUUGCAAAAUCUUCUUUUCACUCAUCCCCUUGGCUUCACCUGUUACCUAAAUCCACUCUUCACAAAGUCAAAUGGUAUUUUUAGGACAUAAAUGAAACCAUGCACUCCUCUGCUCAGAACCCUCCAGGGUCUUUCUAUUAUGCCGAGGAUAAGAUGCAAAUUUCUUAUCCUGGCCCACGUAGUUGAGUUUCCUGGGGUCUGGCCCUUGCUGGGUUCUCUGAUGUCAUCUCUUGUUCUGCUUCCUCGUUUGCUCAUCCCACUCCACCUACUGGUUCUCAGAGACCCUGAGGUUGUCCCCACCUCGGUUCCUUGGCACUGGCUGUUUCCUUUGCCUGGGAUGUCUUGCUCUACGUCUUCCUAGGGCUGGCUGCUUCCUGUCAGGCAGGUCUCAGAUCAGAUGUCACUUCUACCAAGAGGCCUUUUCUGACCCGGUUAAAGCAGCCCCUCACUCAUCCUCUCUCCUGCACCACACUGCUUUAUUUUCUUCAUAGCACUGAUGACACCCGGGCACUGUGUUGCCUGUUUGUUGGGUUUAUUUUUUAUUGUCCAUCUCCCCACACCAGCAUGGAAACUCUAUGAGGAGAGAAAGCCCUCCUGACUCACUCCCCAACUCUAUCCCAGCCUUUAAAGUGAUGCCUGGCCCAGAGCAGGCACACGGCAAAUCUUUACUUAACGUCUAAAUAAAUAAAUGGGCCCCAAAGAGAUGCUGUUUGAUUUGGAAAGCUUUGAUUUCCUUUUUGGGAAACAAGUUCUAGCUGACUACAAUUUUUACUCAAAAGGAUAUAUAUAGUCUGUGUAUUUUACCCAAAUAACAUGCAUUGCAGUUUCUGUCCUUUCCCUAAUAUUUUGACACAACUAUUACUAUGUAUUAUUUAUUUGUUAUGGAAGAGAUGGACCAUAUCAGGUCUCCAUGUUUUUGUUGAUAAACUCUCGAGCAUUGGGACAUUUAUCUCCAAUGCGUCUUCCUCUCAGCAGCCUGGCAAAGAGGCAGUGCUGUGCCAGGAAAGAAC